rnacentral:rRNA from 2 species
AAAACGACUCUCGGCAACGGAUAUCUCGGCUCUCGCAUCGAUGAAGAACGUAGCGAAAUGCGAUACUUGGUGUGAAUUGCAGAAUCCCGUGAACCAUCGAGUCUUUGAACGCAAGUUGCGCCCGAAGCCACUAGGCCGAGGGCACGCCUGCCUGGGCGUCACGC